CUUUUUGUGGCUUCUAAGGCUACUGCCACGAGUAAAUGUCUUUCCACACUCCAUGCAUUUAAAUGGUUUCUCUCCUGUGUGUAUAUUUUUGUGCCUUUUAAGAACACUACCAUGAGUAAACGUCUUUCCAUACUCUAUGCAUUUAUAUGGUUUCUCUCCUGAGUGGAUCUUUUUGUGACUUCUAAGGGCACUGCUCUUAGUAAAGGUCUUUCCACACUCCAUGCAUUUAAACGGCUUCUCUCCUGUGUGAAUCUUUUUGUGGAUACCAAGUCUACUGCUGAGAGCAAAGGUCUUUCCACAUUCCAGGCAUUUAAAUGGCUUUUCUCCAAUAUGGAUCUUUUUGUGAAUUUCAAGUUUACUGCUGAGAGCAAAGGUCUUUCCACACUCCAUGCAUUUAUAUAGUUUCUUCCCUGUGUGAAUCAUUUUACGGAUGGUAACUUGUCUGCUUGUUCUAAAACAUUUUCCAUAUUCAAAACAUUUAUAAGGCUGCUCUUUUGCAUCAACCACUUUUUGAGAUGUAAGGAACUUAUUCCCAAGAGAAAGAAAGAACAUCCCAUUGGAAUUCUCUCCAUUGUGUCUUGUUAUAGCAUCUUCUCCUUUGUUUUGGGUUAAAUAGUGUUCAUUUACUUGUACUUUAGCUUUGAUUAGCUUCACACUUUUUCCAGUAUAUUUUUUCCUUAUUUUCUCUUGUUGGGCAAGAAAGUCUUGCAUCAGAGCAUCAGUGGAAGAUGAGCUUUCCUGAUUCCAAUUCUUUGACUGGUUUCUCUCGUGGCUUUCAAAUUCCAUUCGAAUUCCAAACUUCUCUGUUCCAUCUUUAGCACUGAUCACUUGGAACAGUUCACAGGAAUCUUGAUUCUCCUGCGUAGUAUUACCUUCAAAACAAAAGGGAAAUGAAAAUGAUAACGAUGUUGGACAAAAAGUUCAAAGUGUAGGAAGUCAAGUGAAUUUCCUUCUGAAUUUCUCCGAAAUUCCAUUAGGUUGUAUGUUUGCAUGCCUACAGUGGUGUGAUAUAGACAUAACAGAUAACAG